CCUACGGGAGGCAGCAGUGGGGAAUCUUGCACAAUGGAGGAAACUCUGAUGCAGCGAUGCCGCGUGAGUGAAGAAGGCCCUUGGGUUGUAAAGCUCUUUCGUCGGGGAAGAAAAUGACUGUACCCGAAUAAGAAGGUCCGGCUAACUUCGUGCCAGCAGCCGCGGUAAUACGAAGGGACCUAGCGUAGUUCGGAAUUACUGGGCUUAAAGAGUUCGUAGGUGGUUGAAAGAGUUAGUGGUGAAAUCCCAGAGCUUAACUCUGGAACUGCCAUUAAAACUUUUCAGCUAGAGUAUGAUAGAGGGAAGCAGAAUUUCUAGUGUAGAGGUGAAAUUCGUAGAUAUUAGAAAGAAUACCAAUUGCGAAGGCAGCUUUCUGGAUCAUUACUGACACUGAGGAACGAAAGCAUGGGUAGCGAAGAGGAUUAGAUACCCUCGUAGUCCAUGCCGUAAACGAUGUGUGUUAGACGUUGGAAAUUUAUUUUCAGUGUCGCAGCGAAAGCGAUAAACACACCGCCUGGGGAGUACGACCGCAAGGUUAAAACUCAAAGGAAUUGACGGGGA
rnacentral:rRNA from 1 species